GGAAGCAAAGAGGAUUGUGGGAGCUCCGUUGUGCGUCGCUUAAGGGAGGGCGGUGGAUGGGCAAGGGUCGGGUCAUUGCAACUGCCGCUGCUCUCCGAGGCCACAGGACAGGGGCCGUGGGUCGCCGUCAUGAAAGCGAGCGAGGCGGAGGAACCAUGUAAGAAGUCUGACUGCCCUGCUGGAGAAACCAAAUGGAGAGGUCCAGAGACAACAUGGAGAGAGAGCGCACAGCCCAGCUGAGCCCAGCUUUCCAGUUAUCCCCACCAAUGCGCCACGCAUAUGAAGGAAGUCAUCUUGGUCCCUCCAAAACAACCUAGCCAGCCAGCUGGAUACCACUGAGUGACCUCAGUAGAUGGCACAUGGGACAGCAGAAUUAUCUAGUGAGCUUUGCCCACAUUCCUCACCCACACAGUCUGUGGUGUGAGGAGUCCUGGAGACACCUGAGACUGAGACCCUUUCAAGUGACUGGGAAAUCCUUUUUCCAACUACAUAUCUCCAUGAGGUUGGAUUUGUCUUCAUAUGAUUUAUCCAAAACGGCAUGUUACAACAUUAAAUGCAGAAGCAAAUACGAGAAUCUAGCUGUCUUGUACUGAGGCAGACAUUUAAGAGAUUUUCAGAAAUGUAAAACAUUCCUAAAAUCUUUGUUUAUGAAAAUGCAAUUAUUUUAAUAAAAUUUUAUGUACAAUAA